rnacentral:tRNA from 1 species
CGGGGUGUAGCACAGUUGGUAGAGCGCUACGUUCGGGACGUAGAGGCCGCUGGUUCGAGUCCAGUCACCCCGACCA